GUUUAUAUCGAUUACAUGUUACAAUGAUAAUAUUUUUGAUUUGUUGGGCUAAUAAAUAAAAUAUAUUAUGAAAAUUGAUUUCAGCUAUUUCUUUGUACUUUGUAAUGUGGCUACUAAAAAUUUAAAAUUACUUAUGUGGCUCACAUUAUAUUCUUAUUGGGCAGUGCUAGUCCAAACCGCUGUAGCCCUCCGUUCAUCUUUAGCCUUAUGCACAAGCUGCUGUAGAAAUAACCCUUUCGUCAGCAGUUUUUGUUUUUCUGUCGUCUGAUGACCAGUUUUUGAACAACUCUUUGGACCAACUCUGUAGCCAGUUUGACUUAGGCAUUUAGGAGAGUAGGAAACAUCAGCUUGACAGGGCUCUGGUUUAACAUUUUCUAGAUUCAUGUCUCUAAUAGGCAGUCAGUAACUCCAGAUUCCAGCUUCUCUUUUCAAUUCUUUAAUCGAGAUGAAAAUAUCUUCAUUUGUAGUUGUUCAGAGAUGUCGCCAAGCAAGAGACAGAAGCACGUAAAGUACCCUGUAGACUGUGCAGUGGCUUCAGUUGAUUGGUAAUAGAAGAUGAAGUCGAAUGUGUAGUAACUAAGUUAUUUAAAUACUUUGAAAAGCUGUCUGAUUUACCAUUCGACUUUUACAUCAUCUUUGAGGAAACUUUGGAAGUCUAACUUGAAGCAGUUCAUCAGAGCCGUUUUUUUUUUUUACAAGAAAUAUCAAGCAAUAAAAACAAGCAUUAGUUUCUGCUCUGUUACCAACACUUUCUGUGACUGGGUGCUCACUCUCCUAGCUGUCAAAUGUUUCUUGUAAGCUGUGGAUUGGAGAGAUACAAACUUUUGUAAAUAAAUGUAAAUUAAUGUACAUAAGUGACUAGGUGGUUUGGCUCAUUUUUCCUGUUAAAUUAGAAAAAUAAAAUAGUCACAUACCUCAGCAGGUGAAGGCUUUUUACUAAAAUCUGUACUCGACUUCUGUUUUGUUUUAGAGGAGAAAUAAUUCAUUGCAGGAUUGGUAGUAGAGUGAGGGAGAAGAUGGACAAAGUCCUUUUGCUUCUUAGGUCUAUGGCUGUUGACAAGAAGCAAGAACAUACAGGUCUUCUGUUUCUUUUGAAAAGACCAGAUCACCACCAUCCAAAUGCUGGUGUAUAACCUGGGUGGGCAGGGAGACUUGUCUCAUCAAGAUCUCUUAAUCCACUUAGUCUGUCGUGUCAGCUGUCCCCUUAGCAGGUGAACAGCCGAGAACUCGUAACAAACUGUCAAGUCACGUACAAAUGCAGAACAGCAGCGUCUCCUGAAUAAGGAAGUGGAGAGCCUGCUGUCCCUCGGGCAGCCAUCAUGUAAACCCCAGAUCCCAGAGUCAGCAUGCAGAGGGCUUAGCUCCUGAGCCGUGCUACCCCUGGAAUUUCUGUCCCAUGAGAGUCUUCAGUCUGAAAGAAGAAAUAAUGCUUUUUCACUCCAAGGCGGGUGUGUGAACAGGGCCCCGUGAGACAGCUCCAUCCAGGCUCUCCAGAGCCGUCAGCGAGAGUGAGGCAGGGGCCUGGGAGCCCUGAGUACUCCUGGGAAGACCCCUACUUCUCCCUAGUCCCCCCACCUCCAGGUGGCGUAGCUUCCUAUCGAAGUGUGCCUCUGACUAAUCUUGCCGAACCCUUUAUUCCAGGCCCUAUAGGGAGCCUGGGACUCCCAGAACAUCUUCAUCUUCCAGACUUUCAUCUCCAUAUGCUCUAUCUGGCCUUUUCUGGCCCCAUCCAGGAACAACAAGAUUCCUGGUGUCCUCUCCUAUGAAUGUUCCCUUCUCCUUUCUAUUCGCGUUAAACCUGGCUCUCCCCGAGGAUGCUGCUUCCCAAGGCCUUCUCAAGGGACAGCUGCUUCCUCUCCUGUGCCCCCUGCUGGGCCUGGGGGGAGGGAAGGCAUCCUCCUUGCUCCUCUCUGCCUCCAGACCCUUGCUUCUUCCUCGCCUUUGAUGCUCUGGCCAGCAGAUUGCCACCUCCUGACACCCCUUUGUAAGUUAUCUUGGUUAUUCCUCAUCCCAUGAAGAUUUUAGCACAAGGUUGAAAUCACUCUCUUAAUACUGCUCCUUUUAGAAUGUGAGUGUUUUCAAAACCUGCAAAUCCAGUACUCUGCCAUGGUCUCCCCCAAGGAUCUGUCAUCUCCCUUUCUCAGCAGAUGCCACCCUGGUCCUGCUCCUACCAAUACCCACAGCCCCCAUAGUCUCAGUUACAGGCAUCCCCUCUCCCCUCCCUAUCUUCCACAUCACUCCCUGGAGGGCCCCAACUCCAAAAAUCCUGCAGCCCUGCCAGGACCUGCACACCAGUGAUCCCACCAUCUUUUCCCUGGCCCUCAACCCUUUGCAUUCUCUUUCUCCUUCCUGCCUGCUCAUCACGAUUGUUCAGGG